GACGAACGCUGGCGGCGUGCUUAACACAUGCAAGUCGAACGGUGAAGGGGAGCUUGCUCCCCGGAUCAGUGGCGAACGGGUGAGUAACACGUGGGCAACCUGCCCCAGACUUCGGGAUAACGCUUCGAAAGGAGUGCUAAUACCGGAUACGAACUCCUUGGGCAUCCUGGGAGUUGGAAAGUUUUUCGGUCUGGGAUGGGCCCGCGGCCUAUCAGCUUGUUGGUGAGGUAACGGCUCACCAAGGCGACGACGGGUAGCCGGCCUGAGAGGGCGACCGGCCACAGUGGGACUGAGACACGGCCCAGACUCCUACGGGAGGCAGCAGUGGGGAAUAUUGCGCAAUGGGCGAAAGCCUGACGCAGCAACGCCGCGUGAGGGAUGACGGCCUUCGGGUUGUAAACCUCUUUCAGCAGGGAAGAAGCGAAAGUGACGGUACCUGCAGAAGAAGCACCGGCUAACUACGUGCCAGCAGCCGCCGUAACAC
rnacentral:rRNA from 1 species